GGGGAAUGAAAUCAUCUGAUUUCUGAUUUACCUCUGAAUAGUUAAAAUCACAUGAUGACAUACAGUGUUCAGUAGCUGCGGUGUUUUCAAAGAGCAGGAAUUGUACAGAAUCUAACAGAUUAAACCAGAGUAAAAACUGUUAGCAGAGGUGGGAUUCACACCCUGCAGACUCCACUCUGCAGGGUGUGAAUAACACACACACACACACACACACAUGCACACACACUCCUUGAAAUGAAGAUCAAGGAAUCAAGGAGGCGUAUCGACAUGUUUCAUGUUUCAUCUGGCCCAGGAUGUUUAUUUCAUGUCUCUAAUAAUUGACAGUUUAUGGACAGUUUUUAUCUGGUGUAUGCUCAGCACACACUUUCAAAGUGUUAGUCGUGUUAUUUCUUCAGAUACUGAUACACCCGGGUUGGGGAGAAAAAAGUGGAAUAGCAAGAAACCAGUCCAUUAUCGAAGCAGGAACAUUUAGGUUAUCAAUAAAGGAUUCAUUUCGCAUGUAAAACCUGUGGCAUCAGUGGAAAGUCUGCAACAGAAGGUCAAAGGAUUUCUGAUUGUUGAUUGUUCCGUCGGUGACUGAGCCACAUCUCUCCCUCCGUCUCAGUCGGCCGCAUCUUGAAUAAUUCUCACGGCACUGUGAACGGAUGGAUGCCACCGAGACAUUUAUCAGAUCAUUAUGUGUCAUUAUCUGUUCCCAGGUACAAUGGGAGCUAUUUGAAGGAGGCUGACAUGGUUACGUCAGAGCUCGAGCGCCGCAGUUCCCAUCGCGGGCCUUUGGCUGAAGCUCUGCAUCGUCGUAAUCGAACCUGUGGAGCAUCAGGAGACUCUAGCCACCAGCCAUUCUUCAUCAGCCUCUCCAUGGUUUCGUCCAAGGAUCGCAGCUCUCCUGUCUCUCUCCUGAUUUAUUACAAAUUUCCAUGCUUUUUCACAACCUGUUUUAUGGCACCACACAGCAUGUAGUCUGCUGCACUGUUGCGCUUCAUCCUCGCUAAGGAUGAAGAAAGUUAAACGGAUGUCCUGGAGACACAUUUAGUAAAAUCUGCCAUGUCGAGUUUGCUGUCGUUCACAGGGGGUCGCACUGAAGUCAGUCGGCAUUGAGAGGCUGGCAAUCACAGGGCACUGGCGUGCACAGACUCUCUACAGGGCAAAAUGUGAAUGAAUGAAUUAAAGCUGAUGAAAAAUAGUUUGUGCCAGAGGGGUGGAUUAUUCUGCAUUCUUUCCUGAGUAAAAACAUAAGUAUUUUGUAAUAUAUUAAAAACGGUUGAAAUAUACUGAUUUUGUUAUUUUUAUUCUUUUAAAAGUUCCAAGAAUCUGCAAGAGUACAUUUUUUUCAGCUGAGAACCCUCUGACCCUCACAACGGUUUUGAAAUACUCCCUAUUUUUGAAGUCUCAGUGUCAUGAUCCUAUCAUUUUAGUUUCAUUGUAUGUGUGGUUUCUGGGUUUUAGUUGAGUCUUUACCAUGUUGUCUGCCAUUGAGUUACCCUGAUCCUGCCAUUAGGUUGCCCUGAUCCUGCUGUUGAGUUACCCUGAUCCUGUCGUUGAGUUAGCCUGAUCCUGUCGUUGAGUUACCCUGAUCCUGUCGUUGAGUUACCCUGAUCCUGCUGUUGAGUUACUCUGAUCCUGUCAGUGGGUUACCCUGAUCCUACCAUUAGGUUGCCCUGAUCCUGCUGUUGAGUUACCUUGAUCCUGUCGUUGAGUUACCCUGAUCCUGUCGUUGAGUUACCCUGAUCCUGCCAUUAGGUUACUCUGAUCCUGCCAUGUUUCCCUGAUCCUGCCAUGACUCUCGGGUCCUGCCAUGUUUGCCUUUUCCAGCUGUUGGUUCUGAAUAAACCUUAUCACCGUUCUUCCUGCCUGCUGUCUUGUGCAUUUGGCUCCACCUUCUCUGCUUCAACGUGACAUCAAGGUUGGAAAGUACACGAGCAGGAUGCUAGUGCAACUAGAGCUUUCUUGAGCUGUUAUGCUAUGAAAAGUUACAUGAAUGUGAACAUCCACAUUGGCAAAACCUAAUCCAGGCCCAGUGCAAACCAGACAAAAUAUGGAGUUUAC
rnacentral:lncRNA from 1 species